GUGAUAUUCAUCUCAGCACGAGGUAUGACAAAAUAGCGAGAUAGCCCGCGCGAUGCCAAGAAGAUUGAAUGCUCGCUAAAAGAUUGAAACGAUAUUCUAAAGCAACUAGCAGCUGAGAGAAAAAGAGAGAGCUAGAGGCUGCGUAUUGGUGCAACCCAACUACAGCCCAUUGUUCAAGUUUUCUCUUGCAUGUGGUCCGAUUUGUCUUCCCCUGUAUUUGCCGCUGUUUCCGAUGAGAACUUGAAGAGUAGGAGGUAG
rnacentral:lncRNA from 1 species